rnacentral:rRNA from 1 species
UACGUAGGGGGCGAGCGUUGUCCGGAUUUAUUGGGCGUAAAGAGCUCGUAGGCGGCUUGGCAAGUCGGGUGUGAAACCUCCAGCUCAACCUGGAGACGCCACUCGAUACUGCCAUGGCUAGAGUCCGGUAGGGGACCACGGAAUUCCUGGUGUAGCGGUGAAAUGCGCAGAUAUCAGGAGGAACACCGGUGGCGAAGGCGGUGGUCUGGGCCGGCACUGACACUGAGAGACGAAAGCUAGGGGAGCGAAUGGG